rnacentral:rRNA from 1 species
UGGGGAAUUUUGGACAAUGGGCGCAAGCCUGAUCCAGCCAUGCCGCGUGAGUGAAGAAGGCCUUCGGGUUGUAAAACACUUUCAGCGGGGAAGAUGAUGACGGUACCCGCAGAAGAAGCCCCGGCUAACUCCGUGCCAGCAGCCGCGGUAAUACGGAGGGGGCUAGCGUUGUUCGGAAUUACUGGGCGUAAAGGGCGUGUAGGCGGCCUGCCAAGUCAGAUGUGAAAGCCCCGGGCUUAACCUGGGAACUGCAUUUGAGACUGGCCGGCUAGAGGUUGGAAGAGGAGAGUGGAAUUCCCAGUGUAGAGGUGAAAUUCGUAGAUAUUGGGAAGAACACCAGUGGCGAAGGCGGCUCUCUGGUCCACACCUGACGCUGAGGCGCGAAAGCGUGGGGAGCAAACAGGAUUAGAUACCCCGGUAGUCCCUGAGCGGGCUGGCAAGGCGCAU